rnacentral:tRNA from 1 species
GCGGAGGUGGCGGAACUGGCAGACGCGCUAGCUUGAGGUGCUAGUGGGAGCAAUCCCAUGGGGGUUCGAGUCCCCCUCUCCGCACCA